rnacentral:lncRNA from 1 species
AGCAACUGCUGCCUCAAAUUUCCAGAGAUCGACAGCUCAGGUUUUAAAGUUGCUCGGGGACUUUUCAGGACAUCAUGUCUCUAAGGAAGAAAGUAAGACCGAGUUCUGCCUCAGGGAAGUUAGAAACAUUCAACCUUAGCAGCAUACUGACAGAGCUCCAAGGGCCAUCCGCGGCUCGAGGCCCUAUGUGUCGGCACACCCAGACUCCGCAAGAAGGCAUCGGGCUGCAGGCUGCAGCUCCUGUUUCUGUCAGUGACUUUACAGAAGAAGCCCGGGAAGAUGGCUCUCCCCUCCCAGAGUGGCUGGUGAAGGAGAUGCUGAAAAAGCAGCAGAGAAGUUACUCGAUUGGGCUCAUGGAAAACAUAUCAGAGAGCACACGUGCUCAGCGUCACUUCAACCCUGCAAAGAGCCUCUGGAAAGGAAAGGAGUUGGAAAAGGAUGGCUACAAAUCAUUGGAUGUAGAGAAGUUUAAGCAGAUAAUGAAGAAGUGCAUGAGUCCACAUAGCACGAUUGAUGAGCAAGUUGAAAAGCUUUUCAUGAAAAU